rnacentral:tRNA from 1 species
GGUUCCAUGGUGUACUCUGGACUUUGAAUCCAGUGAUCCGAAUUCAAACCUUAGUGGAACCA